rnacentral:lncRNA from 1 species
AUCAAAGGUAUAAACCCCAACCAUAAAAUUUUUUUAUGAUAUGUUGUUAGAUCUUGUAAUUCGUUGUUAAAAGCUGUUGUUUAUAGUCUAAUUUAACGAUCUGGGUUGGUAUAUUACAAGUCCAUAACAUCUAAAUGCUUAAAUCAAUGAUUUUCAAAUUUCUGGAAAAUAAAAUUUUGUGAUCUGACAUCAAAUGUCAGAGUCUAUAGAUCGUUGUGUGUUUAUUGUUUUUGUUGUUUAAGUGUUUACAUUUGUAGCCUUGUAUGAGGUCUUUAU